GACAGAGGGGGCAAGCGUUGCUCGGAAUCACUGGGCGUAAAGGGCGCGUAGGCGGGAUGGCAAGUCAGUCGUGAAAUCUCUCGGCUCAACCGAGAAACGUCGGCUGAUACUGCCGUUCUGAGGGAUGCAGAGGAGACUGGAAUUCCCGGUGUAGCGGUGAAAUGUGUAGAGAUCGGGAGGAACACCGGUGGCGAAGGCGGGUCUCUGGGCAUCUCCUGACGCUGG
rnacentral:rRNA from 1 species